rnacentral:rRNA from 1 species
UGAACGCUGGCGGCGUGCCUACUACAUGCAAGUCGCGCGAACAGACGAGGAGCUUGCUCCUCUGACGUUAGCGGCGGACGGGUGAGUAACACGUGGAUAACCUACCUAUAAGACUGGGAUAACUUCGGGAAACCGGAGCUAAUACCGGAUAAUAUAUUGAACCGCAUGGUUCACUAGUGAAAGACGGUUUUGCUGUCACUUAUAGAUGGAUCCGCGCCGCAUUAGCUAGUUGGUAAGGUAACGGCUUACCAAGGCAACGAUGCGUAGCCGACCUGAGAGGGUGAUCGGCCACACUGGAACUGAGACACGGUCCAGACUCCUACAGGAGGCAGCAGUAGGGAAUCUUCCGCAAUGGGCGAAAGCCUGACGGAGCAACGCCGCGUGAGUGAUGAAGGUCUUCGGAUCGUAAAACUCUGUUAUUAGGGAAGAACAAAUGUGUAAGUAACUAUGCACGUCUUGACGGUACCUAAUCAGAAAGCCACGGCUAACUACGUG